AUUCAAGGUGCCCGUACCGGACAGUCUGUAUUAACAGUGGCUUCUUUAUUACCAUGGAAACCUGCUAGGAAUGACAGCAGGAGUUGGGGUUAUAGUCACUUCAGGAUCGUUGGAAACCCAUUUGAUCUGUCAGUUUCACUGUAGUUUUCUUUCCUGAGUUUUCAUCUCUUCCACAGCAGCAGUGGGGUUGAGGGUCCCCUUGAUACGAUCUCAGCUCCGAUACCAUUGAUUGGUUUGGGGAUGGGAUCAGGAAGUUGUAGAAUGCAAAAGCUGCACCCAGUGUAUAGAUUCCUUCUCUGGUGUGCUGCCAGCGAGUGAGUGGAGGGAUAUGCCUUUCCCCACAACAAGAGGACGGAGCUGGGUCAGAAACUCGGAAGCGUGCCUGGACAUUGCCACUGAGGCCGGCAGCAGCAGGGGCUUGGUACUCUGCUGCUAGGAGCAGCGCAGGGUGUGGUUCAGCGGCCGUGCCGGUCAGGAAGGAGAACACGUCAUGGAGACGCUGUGACCAUCCACAGCCUACAAGUGUAGAGGAGAGGAUACUGGAGGUCACUGGAGCCUCAGACUGCCCUGUCAGAGGCAGGAUGGUGGUGAAUCCUGGACAAGAUGAUACAAUUGCUUAUCAGCAACACACACGGCAAACAACGUCCAGUCAUAUUGACUUCAUUUCAACAAGCUUCCAGUUGUGCAGGUGGUGGAAGUUGCUGACAACUCCUCAGGAGUACCGUAGAGGACUCUGCAG